rnacentral:rRNA from 1 species
GACGGAGGAGGCAAGCGUUAUCCGGAAUGAUUGGGCGUAAAGCGUCCGCAGGUGGCUGUGUAAGUCUGCUGUCAAAGAGCGAAGCUCAACUUCGUAAAGGCAGUGGAAACUACACGGCUAGAGUGCGUUCGGGGCAGAGGGAAUUCCUGGUGUAGCGGUGAAAUGCGUAGAGAUCAGGAAGAACACCGGUGGCGAAGGCGCUCUGCUAGGCCGCAACUGACACUGAGGGACGAAAGCUAGGGGAGCGAAUGGG